rnacentral:rRNA from 1 species
AUCCUGGCUCAGGACGAACGCUGGCGGCGUGCCUAAUACAUGCAAGUCGAGCGGACAGAAGGGAGCUUGCUCCCGGAUGUUAGCGGCGGACGGGUGAGUAACACGUGGGUAACCUGCCUGUAAGACUGGGAUAACUCCGGGAAACCGGAGCUAAUACCGGAUAGUUCCUUGAACCGCAUGGUUCAAGGAUGAAAGACGGUUUCGGCUGUCACUUACAGAUGGACCCGCGGCGCAUUAGCUAGUUGGUGGGGUAAUGGCUCACCAAGGCGACGAUGCGUAGCCGACCUGAGAGGGUGAUCGGCCACACUGGGACUGAGACACGGCCCAGACUCCUACGGGAGGCAGCAGUAGGGAAUCUUCCGCAAUGGACGAAAGUCUGACGGAGCAACGCCGCGUGAGUGAUGAAGGUUUUCGGAUCGUAAAGCUCUGUUGUUAGGGAAGAACAAGUACGAGAGUAACUGCUUGUAACU